rnacentral:lncRNA from 1 species
GGAAUCUUCCAGCGGAUUAGGGCAAACGGGCUCAGGACGCUGCGGAGGCUGCCGAGUUCGACUGGGUCCAGCUACCGUGGAGCGGCGCUGCCCAGACCAGAGGAGCCGUAGCUCUGCUCUGCUUGCAGAGGCUUCCAGCGUGGAGUAAAGAAUGGCUGUUGAACAUCCACAAGACACCUGCAAGAAUGUGAAUCAAGGUUGAGACCAACACAUUAUUUCUGGAAAAGGAUAUUUAUGCAAUAG